rnacentral:RNase_P_RNA from 1 species
GCAAGUGGGCGAGCGGGCUUCGGGCAUCUUCGGAAACGGGAUGCCUGAGGAAGCUCACCCCCAUGCGGAGCCAUAGCCCCGUGAGGGGCAGGGCGAGAGCCCUGGCUCUGGCAUAGAAACGAGACCUCUCCCAGCUGGAUGAGGAGGAGGCGGCUGAGGCUUCUAGGCCGAGAAGAUGCCCAGCAAUGGGCAUCGAGAUAACCCGUCGACGAGGCUGGGAGAAUGGAUGCAACGGCCAGCCUAUGGGGGUAAGGCCAAGUAUGGCCUAUGAGGACCGCAUGAGGCCGGGUAGGCCGCUUAGCUGAAUCCCGCAGAAACAGAAGGUGAGCUACGCCCACAUGC